CCGUACCAUGCAGUGAAAGCGCCUUUUAGAGAACAUUCAAACGGAGCGCGAGAUCAACGGACAAGUAACGAAUGAACAUCAGCACAUGGUUCAACAAUCUUGAGGAUGGAUCACAUCAAGUCCUUUUGCAGUUGUAUCCGUCAAAGAAAUACACAUACAAAAUGGAAAUGACUUUCAAAUUGCAGAGCUUGGACAAAGUUAGCACACAGGUUUUGAAGAGGAAUUCAUCAAGGACAUAGUCUCAGGCUCAAGACGUCACACACAAGUGCAAACAGUUCAGUCGCCGUAUUGGUUGAAUUAUAUAGGAUUUCCAGGAGACGU